CCUACGGGUGGCAGCAGUGGGGGAUAUUGGACAAUGGGGGAAACCCUGAUCCAGCGACGCCGCGUGAGUGAAGAAGUAUUUCGGUAUGUAAAGCUCUAUCAGCAGGGAAGAAAGAAAUGACGGUACCUUAGUAAGAAGCCCCGGCUAACUACGUGCCAGCAGCCGCGGUAAUACGUAGGGGGCAAGCGUUAUCCGGAAUUACUGGGUGUAAAGGGGGCGUCGACGGUAAUGCAAGUCUGGAGUGAAAGGCGGGGGCCCACCCCACGGACUGCUCUGGAAACUGUGUAACUGGAGUGCAGGAGAGGCAGGCGGAAUGCCUAGUGUAGCGGUGAAAUGCGUAGAUAUUAGGAGGAACACCAGUGGCGAAGGCGGCCUGCUGGACUGUAACUGACGUUGAGGCUCGAAAGCGUGGGGAGCAAACAGGAGUAGAUACCCCUGUAGUC
rnacentral:rRNA from 1 species